GACGAACGCUGGCGGCGUGCCUAAUACAUGCAAGUUGAGCGCUGAAGGUUGGUACUUGUACCAACUGGAUGAGCAGCGAACGGGUGAGUAACGCGUGGGGAAUCUGCCUUUGAGCGGGGGACAACAUUUGGAAACGAAUGCUAAUACCGCAUAAAAACUUUAAACACAAGUUUUAAGUUUGAAAGAUGCUAUUGCAUCACUCAAAGAUGAUCCCGCGUUGUAUUAGCUAGUUGGUGAGGUAAAGGCUCACCAAGGCGAUGAUACAUAGCCGACCUGAGAGGGUGAUCGGCCACAUUGGGACUGGGACACGGCCCAAACUCCUACGGGAGGCAGCAGUAGGGAAUCUUCGGCAAUGGACGAAAGUCUGACCGAGCAACGCCGCGGGAGUGAAGAAGGUUUUCGGAUCGUAAAACUCUGUUGGUAGAGAAGAACGUUGGUGAGAGUGGAAAGCUCAUCAAGUGACGGUAACUACCCAGAAAGGGACGGCUAACUACGUG
rnacentral:rRNA from 1 species